AAUUGAUAAUGAUAGCUAUCAGUCUCUAUUUAAACCUAUUAUGGAAAAAAUCAUGGAAGUUUACCAGCCUGGUGUUGUCGUGCUCCAAUGUGGUGCUGAUUCCUUGUCUGGUGACCGGUUGGGUUGUUUCAAUCUUUCUGUCAAAGGCCAUGCAGAGUGUGUUCGAUACAUGAGAUCAUUUAAUGUGCCGUUGUUACUUCUCGGAGGUGGUG
rnacentral:misc_RNA from 1 species